rnacentral:rRNA from 1 species
UAACUCCUACGGGGGGCAGCAGUGGGGGAUAUUGCACAAUGGGGGAAACCCUGAUGCAGCGACGCCGCGUGAGUGAAGAAGUAUUUCGGUAUGUAAAGCCCUAUCAGCAGGGAAGAAAAUGACAGUACCUGACCAAGAAGCCCCGGCUAACUACGUGCCAGCAGCCGCGGUAAUACGUAGGGGGCAAGCGUUAUCCGGAUUUACUGGGUGUAAAGGGAGCGUAGACGGUUAUGUAAGUCUGGAGUGAAAGCCCGGGGCGCAACCCCGGGACGGCUUUGGAAACUGUG